CAAUGACUGGCAUCGGCGGAGGGGUCUGACCGUUCUUCUCGCACAUGGACUGCACAUUUGCUUUUGACGAGUCAGUCAUAUUAGUUACUAAUGAAAGGAACAUUGCAUGCAUGAUUUAGCUAAUAUGCAGAAGAAACUUACCGCGAAGAGCUCGUAUAUGGCCCGGUUAGCCAAGUCGUUCCGGUUCCUCUCCUCCUCCAAAAGCCUAGCCGUCCUCUCCUCAAUCUCCCUCUCCCUCUCCGCCGCAUGCCUCCUUUCCUCCGCCAGAAGCUCCUGGGUCUUUGCUCUCUCUUCCUCAAUAGCAGCCUGCAACACCACUCCUCUUUAGCAUUGUAAUCAUCGACGGCCGCACACAUAAUGUAAUGG
rnacentral:lncRNA from 1 species